rnacentral:rRNA from 1 species
UACGAAGGGGGCUAGCGUUGUUCGGAAUUACUGGGCGUAAAGCGAACGUAGGCGGACUCUUAAGUCGGUGGUGAAAUCCUGGAGCUCAACUCCAGAACUGCCUUCGAUACUGAGAGUCUCGAGUCCGGGAGAGGUGAGUGGAACUGCGAGUGUAGAGGUGAAAUUCGUAGAUAUUCGCAAGAACACCAGUGGCGAAGGCGGCUCACUGGCCCGGUACUGACGCUGAGGUGCGAAAGCGUGGGGAGCAAACAGG